GUCAGGAGUAGCAGUGAUAGGUUGCCUCGUGUCCCUAUUGAAGGUUCAAUAAGCUUACCUCAGAAUAAGUUCCCUCUUUCAGAACUACAUUGUGCCACUUUAUUCACAAGUAAGUAUAGCAGGUAAGUGUCACCAAAUAUGCAUGUUAGAUAUGGUGUCACUUUUUUUACAUUUACCUUAAAGUUACGUUUCAUUUAUUAAUAUACAUCCAUUACUGCAGUUCAUUCCCACAACACAUUCCACAUAAAGUGGGAACGGGGGAAGUCUAUGGCAAGCAAAGAGGGGAAAAAAACUACACAAUGAUAUGUUUUAGGACAGAUUAUGUUUUAACAGGUGAUUGUUACCAUGAUUUGGUAGAAAAGCAGAAUCCACAAAAGGAUGAGUCUUUCAGGAGCAAAAAUGGGUAAAUAUUACCAGUUUGCAAUAAAUAUGUGAGAAAAUAAUUGUAAUGUUUAGAAGCAACAAACCUGUGACCUUCCAACAAACUAAUUAAUACAUUACAUUAAUCAUUAAUAAUUGUGCUUGUAUAUUUAUUUCUGUCUAUUCUGUUGUAUAUUGUGUUUAUGUAUGUAUAUGCAGUUUUUAGUACUGCACAGAAUACACACACAGAGAAAAAUCAGUUUAGUGUAAAAAUGCUGAUCAGCAGAUUCAGAAAGAAUACUGUUUUACUCUUUACUUUACUUUUCAAUGUACAAUGAAAGUGUGUGUGUGUGUGUGUGUGUGUGUGUGCUCAAAAGAGAUUCUCUCAUGAGGACAUUUCACCUCAGGCAAUGAACUGCACUCGAUCACAACUCGCCUUCCAGCAGAGGAGAGAGGAGGAAGAGGGAAAAUGAAAUAUGGCUGCCCACUGCAGAAAUUACAGUUACAUGGAGAAGAGAAAAGAAAAGAGACAAAACAGUAUAGUACGCCGUGACAAAAACACAUCUGAAAUUGCAGAAGUCCACAAAUUCUCCAGCAGGAAGGAACUGGAAGCCGAUAUUGGUGUUGCGCUUGAACUCCAUUUUGGAAUCACUGGACACUUUUCCAGAGGGACCAGCCGCACUUAGCUUGGCCUGUCCCAUAAAGUUCAGCUUUAGCUCAUCAAGGCGCAUUUUCUCCUGUUUGUAGUAAAGGCGGAUGUUGCGCUGUGUCGCAUUUGCUAUAUGAAUGUUUCCCAUCUGAUCAACUGCAACAAGAACAAACAAACACACAGUUUGAGAUCCUGCUCAAGUCAGCAUGAUACAAGAUAUCAAGAAUCAACAUCUAAAAAUACAAAAGAACAGAAUUUACCUCAAAUGAAUAGACGUCAAAAGUAACUGGAAGGUGCAGAGAUGUUUUGCUGAUGCCACAGUGGGUGUGCUCUGUUUAGAGUUUAUUAUAUUUAAGGGUAAAAAGGCCACGUUAUUUCCCUUUUUUCUUUUUGAAAGUCAUAUCUCUUGCACAACUUUAAUAUUACACAGACAUUAUUUCACAAUCAAUUUGAGCAUAUUUCCGCCAGGUAGACACUGGUAGAUACUGGCCAUUGCCAUCUUUCACUGUUAUAGUUCACAAAUUAGACUUUUUGAUCAAUUCAAGCGUAUAUGACUUUCUACAUUACACUAAUUUCAUCAGGAUAGUAGACUUAAUGUCCAUUAAAAGUAACUAGAUCCUAAUAACCGAAAAUAAAUAUACUAACCAUAAUUAGACA
ensembl:lncRNA